UUUCCGUAGGUGAACCUGCGGAAGGAUCAUUAUUGUAUAACCAAGUUUCGAGGGCUGUCGCUCAUCCGAAAUGUCGUGCACGCCCGAGUGCCCUCACACACAUACAUCUCACCCCUCUGUGCAGCACCGCGAGGCUCCGCCUUUGUAUUGUUCGGGCGCGGGCUUACGUUUCCACACAAACUUUGUAUGCAAUGUAGAUUGUAUUUUUUGUUUUUGCGAUCACGCAAUCAAUCCAACUGUCAACAACUCUUAUCUCGAUUCUCUCUACGGAGAAAAUCGUGACUCGGUAAUCGUACGUGAAACGGCGGAAGGCUCAUUAGGAUAUAAACGUGGUGCUAGGGAUGCCGCUGAUCCGAAAGGUGGUGCAUGAGCGCGUGCACUCACACACCUACAUCCCGCUCGUAAGUGCACCGUUGCGUUGGUCCCCUCAUGGCUUGUUCGGUGGGGGGCUUACGCUUUCCAGAAAACUUUGUAUGUCUUGUAGAAUGUAUUUUUUGUUUUUGCGAUCACGCAUACAAUACAACUUUCAACAACGGAUCUCUUGGCUCUC
rnacentral:misc_RNA from 1 species